GCGGCGCCAUGGUUGGUGAUGGCGUUGAAGUUUCAGCCCGUGCUGCUCGGUGGCAGUGGUGGCCUCGGCUGUGUGGUGAACUCUCUGGGUUCCUCGAGGCAGUGAUGCGGGGCUGCACCGCUCUGCGCCGGCAAUAGCGGUCUACGACGGCGUCACGAAUGAAGAUGCAUGAUUAUGUGCUUCAGAAUGAAGAUGCAUGAUUAUGUGUUUCAGGAGCUGCUAGUCGUACCAUAGAAGCAAUGAAUGAACCUCUUCUCGCUAUUUUCAUUUCAAGUGCAAUAAUCUGCUGGAGGUGUUUUCCAUUCAGACAAGUGAAGUUUUGCACCCUGCAAGUGUGCAUAUGUAUUCUGGAAGAAGAAAAGCAUACCCAGUAAGAUGCAAUCCUUGCCAUUUUACUGAGCAAGUUCAUUCAUAUUAUUUUUAGGUCCUCCUUGACAAUGUAUUUGAUCAAUUGUCUAAAAAAUUCCUGGAUUGUGAGAGUAAAAUAAAGUACGUUCA